rnacentral:rRNA from 1 species
GCUGGAAUCGCUAGUAAUCGCGGAUCAGAAUGCCGCGGUGAAUACGUUCCCGGGUCUUGUACACACCGCCCGUCACACCAUGAGAGUCGGGAACACCCGAAGCCCGUAGCCUAACAGCAAUGAGGGCGCGGUCGAAGGUGGGUUCGAUAAUUGGGGUGAAGUCGUAACAAGGUAUC